GUUGAGGGGCGGGAAUCGAACCCACAACCUUCUGCUUACCGGGCAGGUGCCAUGUCCACUAGGCUACCCUGGA